rnacentral:tRNA from 1 species
GGGGCUGUGGGCCAAUCUGGUUAAGCUUCCACCUCGGGGAGGUGGCGAUCACGAUUCAAAUUCGUGCAGCCCCA